GAAGGUCUUAGCUUAAUUAAAGUGUCUGGGUUGCAUUCAGAAGAUGUGGGGUAGAGUCCUGCAGGUUUUA
rnacentral:tRNA from 1 species